AAAACCAAUGCCCUUCGGGGCUUCCUGGUGAUUCAUAAUAACUUCUCGAAUCGCACGGCCUUGCGCCGGCGAUGGUUCAUUCAAAUUUCUGCCCUAUCAACUUUCGACGGCUGGGUCUUGGCCAGCCGUGGUGACAACGGGUAACGGAGGGUUAGGGCUCGACCCCGGAGAAGGAGCCUGAGAAACGGCUACUACAUCCAAGGAAGGCAGCAGGCGCGCAAAUUACCCAAUCCCGACACGGGGAGGUAGUGACAAUACAUACUGAUACAGGGCUCUUUUGGGUCUUGUAAUUGGAAUGAGUACAAUUUAAAUCCCUUAACGAGGAACAAUUGGAGGGCAAGUCUGGUGCCAGCAGCCGCGGUAAUUCCAGCUCCAAUAGCGUAUAUUAAGUUGUUGCGGUUAAAAAGCUCGUAGUUGAACCUUGGGCCUGGCUGGCCGGUCCGCCUCACCGCGUGCACUGGUACGGUCGGGCCUUUCCCUCUGGGGAACCGCAUGCCCUUCACUGGGUGUGUCGGGGAACCAGGACUUUUAC
rnacentral:rRNA from 1 species